rnacentral:sRNA from 1 species
AUUUUACGUUUUUCUUU